AUUGAACGCUGGCGGCAUGCUUUACACAUGCAAGUCGAACGGUAACAGGCCUUCGGGCGCUGACGAGUGGCGAACGGGUGAGUAACGCAUCGGAACGUGCCCAGUCGUGGGGGAUAACGCAGCGAAAGCUGUGCUAAUACCGCAUACGAUCUGCGGAUGAAAGCGGGGGACCUUCGGGCCUCGCGCGAUUGGAGCGGCCGAUGUCAGAUUAGGUAGUUGGUGGGGUAAAGGCCCACCAAGCCAACGAUCUGUAGCUGGUCUGAGAGGACGACCAGCCACACUGGGACUGAGACACGGCCCAGACUCCUACGGGAGGCAGCAGUGGGGAAUUUUGGACAAUGGGCGCAAGCCUGAUCCAGCAAUGCCGCGUGCAGGAAGAAGGCCUCGGUUG
rnacentral:rRNA from 1 species